AGAGAGCGAGAGAGAGAGAGAGCGAGAGAGAGAGAGCGAGCGAGAGAGAGAGAGAAUGAGAGAAUAAGACUUUAUGGUUAACUUUACCCGGCUGUAAUACGUUUUUGUUAUUUCGCACGUGGUCGUGUAAGUGAUUUAUUGAAAUGAUGGACGUUAAAACUAAAAAGCGUAAAGUUUCUAAAAAAACAAAGAAAUCUUGGAGAAAACAUGUAGAUACAACAGAUGUCGACAAAUUUUUAGAAAAUGAAAGAUUAGAAGAAAGAUUAGGAAUACCAUUUUCUAAACGGCCAGAUGCAGACUUAUUUACAGUUGACAAGAAUGCUACAAUAAAAGAGAUUACGUCUAAUGACAAAAAACAGCGUAGACUCGCUUUGAAAAAUACAGAGCCAAAGUGUUUCAAUAUAUUAAAACCACACACUCUAGUUCCUGAUCCAAUUGUUAAGAGAAAUCGUGUAAGAACGGCUGAAGAGCGUAAACAUCCUAUCUUACUUCGUAAAGAGAUUCAAAGAAAAUCAAUGGGUAUCUUGAAAUUGAAAGAAAAGUUAGCAUUAAAAAAUAAAGCUCUAGCAGAUUUGAAAAGAGCUAACAGACCUAGAAGAGGUGAUUUCAAAGACGAUAUAUGGCAUAAAAAAGAUUCUUCUUUACCGGAAAUUACUACAGAAUGGAUGACUUCUGAUACUAUCAGACAUACUCUUACGCAUAUGGGUAUAAAAAAAAGAAAAUUACCAACAUCCUUACAUAAAAAACCAUCGAUCUUACCAGCUAUAGAAGCUCCACAUCCUGGUACAUCAUAUAAUCCGUCUUAUAAAGAUCAUCAGGAUUUGUUAAAUGAAAUAGCAAAGAAAGAAUUAGAAUUAAUGAAAGAAGAAGCUCAUUUAAAUAGAGUUACUACAAAAAUGUUCAAGAAGGUUUCACUUGAUGAGAAAGAUAAAAAUACAUUAAAGGAAUUAGCUGAGGGUUUACCAAUAAAAAAAGAUGAACUAGAGCAGUCUAAUAACAAUGAUAAUGAUGAUCAUGAUGAUGAUGAUGAUGAUGAUGAUGAUACUGAUAUGGAUUAUAAUAUUAAGUCUGUAAAUCCACCAGUAAAAAAUAAAAAGAAAACAUUAGUAGCAAGACGUAAACAAAAAGAACAAAAAAUGUUAGCACAUAAAUUAGCGCAAGCAAAAUUAGAGAAAAGAAAAGUAUCAGAUAUAUACAAGUUAAAAUUACUUCAAAAACAAAUUGAUGCGAAAGAAAAGAAAGAAAAAAUUUUACAAAAAAAGAGACAUGAACAAAAAAAAUUAAGAUCUGUAGAAACAAAGACAUUGAGUAAAGUUAAAUUUGAACCUGUUGAACCUUCCUUUACAUUAGCAGAAGAAUUAACUGGAAACUUAAGAAAUGUUGCACGCAUUGGUAAUUUAUUAAAGGAUCGUUAUAAAUCAUUGCAACAAAGGAAUAUUGUUGCACCAGCAAAUAUUGUUCUCAAACGAACUAAGGCUAAAGUAAAAAGAUAUAUUAAAUCAGAUCAUAAAAUAAUGCAAAAGUAAUGGAAUAAAGCUUAUAUGACUUCAGCGACAAGUAUGGACAAAAUAUGAACUACAAGCAUAAUAGGGAAACUAUUGCAUUAGUGUAUAAGCUAUAAAUUAUAUAUACCUCUUUUACGUAAUACCUAACAAUCUAUAUAUGAUAAACAUUUUUGUAUGUAUAAAAAAAAUUUAUAUUCUAAAUUAUACUUCUUAGAUUAAUUGAAAAGUGUUCGUUAAUUGUACAAAUUUUAUAUAUUUUGUUUCUAAUUAAAUUUACAACAAAUAAACAAAUACCUAAAAAAUAUUUAAGCAGUCCAUAUCACUUGUGAUGGAAUGCAUAAAAUAUAAAAUAUAAUAUACAUUACAUCAAAAGUAAUAUCAAGUAACCUCAAACCUUACCAUGUGGAGAUUACUAUAUAUGGAGAUCUACAGUACCGACCCAGAUCUCACCGCGUGGAGGUUGCUGCAUAUGGAGAUCCAUGGGCUAGCAGUGACUCUAAAAUCCGCGUACCGAGAUGUCUUUCCGCUUCAGGAGCUUCAGACUUCUUAGCUAACAGGAGGUGGGUGAGACGCUGUUUAUGGAAAACUGCACCGUCCGACAUCGUCAGCUUCAGACAGAACGUUCUAUUAAGCACGUUAUUCCGAAAAAAUUUAUUCGUGGUCACUCAAUACUCUUCUACUAACUAAUUACAACCAAUUACUAGUGCCGAUUCUAUCCUUUUGUCUUUAACAUAAUUGAGUGAUCGGAGGAAUUUAAAAAGUCACUUACUACUUAAGAAAUUUUGCGAUGACUCCAAAACACUAGUCCGAGAUUUAGGUCGAAAUUGAGAGUGGAUGAUUUAUAGGUGGUUAAAAAUGACGUAGGUCGACGUUGAAGUUGGUCGAGAUCCUUUUUCUAUAAUCCACUGAAUCUAAUUCGUGGUAAUUAUUUAUUAAAAAAUGGUCAUUGAAUUUACUUCGUGAAAAUUCACUAUCUUCUAUACAGUCUGUGCGACUGUUAAAAAUGUAAAAUAUGUCAGUCAUUAAAUGCGUGCAGAAACACUUGUCGAUGCAGAAACACUUGUCGAUGCAGAAACACUUGUAUAAAUCGAGAAACGUGAACGAGCAAAUACUGUUUCUACUUCACGAUAUUUUAAUUUUAGUGAUACAAACACUUAAUUACUUCAUUGCUAUGCGCGCGAUUGCAAUAAAUUCCUGAAACAAAAAAAUACAAACAAAAUUAUUAGUAUCACUCUUAUAAUAAGAAACUAUAUAAAUUAUUCAUAAAAUGAAUGAUAUAGAAAUAUACCUACUUUAUCUAUAAGAUAAUUAAAUAUAGCGGUACGGAAAGAGCAUAUAUUCACGUUUACUUUUCGGAGUACAAAAGGAAACUAACGUAGUAACUCGCAUGGACCUUCCAAUGAUCAUUCUUCUUGGCAUCUAACAAUCGAUACACGCUGAAAAUAGAUUAUUUUAUGUAUAACGCAUCUAAAGAACUAUGAGAUUUUUAAAGGCUUGUACUAUUGUUUAAAUAUUACCACAUCGUACUUGGAGUGCAUUGUACAUUGUCUAAAUUAUUUUAAAAUCAUCGCAUCUAUACAAUAAUUACAUGUAGUCGUUCAAAAAGAGGAAUUAUUCACAAGAGAAAUUAUUCAUUAUUUCGAUGUGAAGUUUUCAGAUAACUUGAAGAAACUAACGUGGUAAAUUGCACGGUCUAUCUAUUGUUCCUUCUUAUUGACAUCUAACGAUCGAUGCAAACUGAAAGUUGAUUAUUGUACGUAUAACGCAUCUAAACGAUAAAUUUUUAACGGCAUAUACUAUUGUUUAAAUAUUAGCGCAUCGUACUACAUGUACAUUAUACGUUGUGUAAAUUAUUCUAAAAUCAUCGCAUCUAUGAAAGAAUUAAAUAUAACAUUUUGGUAAGAGACUAUUUCGAUGCGAAGUCCUCAGAGUAAGAAAGGAAACUAACGUGAUAACUCGCAUGGUCCAUUCUAUGUUCUUUCUUGUUGACAUUAAACGAUAAAAUUUGUAUAUUAAAGAAAAGUAUUAAUUAUUUUAACUUACUUAAGGAAAUGUUAUACUGGUAUGUUUAUUAGUUCAAACAACAAAUAAUAGAAAUAUUGAAAAUCGCGUUUACCCAAACAAUGAAUUUAUGAGUAAACUAUUCGCAAAAAAAAACAUUUUUAACGCGA